GAUGAACGCUAGCGACAGGCCUAACACAUGCAAGUCGAGGGGCAGCACAUGAGUAGCAAUACGAUGGUGGCGACCUGCGCACGGGUGAGUAUCGCGUAUGCAACCUACCUUCCACAGGGGGGUAGCCUUCCGAAAGGGAGAUUAAUACCGCAUAAAACAGGGGCCCCGCAUGGGGAUAUUUGUUAAAGAUUUAUCGGUGGGAGAUGGGCAUGCGUUCCAUUAGCUAGGUGGCGGGGUAAUGGCCCACCAAGGCAUCGAUGGAUAGGGGAACUGAGAGGUUUAUCCCCCACACUGGAACUGAGACACGGUCCAGACUCCUACGGGAGGCAGCAGUGAGGAAUAUUGGUCAAUGGGCGGGAGCCUGAACCAGCCAAGUCGCGUGAAGGAAGUCGGUUCUAUGGAUUGUAAACUUCUUUUGCACUGGGGUAAAACGGGGGACGUGUCCCCCCUUGCAAGUGCAGUGCGAAUAAGCAUCGGCUAACUCCGUGCCAGCCGCCGCCGUAA
rnacentral:rRNA from 1 species